rnacentral:tRNA from 1 species
AAGUUGAUGCUUGAGUGGUUAAAAAGAAUGGACUGUAAAUCCAUGGAUACUUAAUGAUCUUCAUCGGUUCAAAUCCGAUUCAACUUA